rnacentral:rRNA from 1 species
GAUGAACGCUGGCGGCGUGCCUAAUACAUGCAAGUCGAGCGAACAGACGAGGAGCUUGCUCCUCUGACGUUAGCGGCGGACGGGUGAGUAACACGUGGAUAACCUACCUAUAAGACUGGGAUAACUUCGGGAAACCGGAGCUAAUACCGGAUAAUAUAUUGAACCGCAUGGUUCAAUAGUGAAAGACGGUUUUGCUGUCACUUAUAGAUGGAUCCGCGCCGCAUUAGCUAGUUGGUAAGGUAACGGCUUACCAAGGCAACGAUGCGUAGCCGACCUGAGAGGGUGAUAGGCCACACUGGAACUGAGACACGGUCAAGACUCCUAAGGGAGGCAGCAGUAGGGAAUCGUCCGCAAUGGGCGAAAGCCUGACGGAGCAACGCCGAGUGAGUGAUGAAGGUCUUCGGAUCGUAAAACUCUGUUAUUAGGGAAGAACAAAUGUGUAAGUAACUAUGCACGUCUUGACGGUACCUAAUCAGAAAGCCACGGCUAACUACGUG